UACAGGGGGUGCAAACGUUGCUCGGAAUUAUUGGGCGCAAAGCGCGCGUAGGCGGCUACCUAAGUCGGAUGUGAAAGCCCCUGGCUUAACUGGGGAAGUGCACCCGAAACUGAGUAGCUAGAGUGCGAAAGAGGGUCGCGGAAUUCCCGGUGUAGAGGUGAAAUUCGUAGAUAUCGGGAGGAACACCGGUGGCGAAGGCGGCGACCUGGGUCGACACUGACGCUGAGGCGCGAAAGCGUGGGGAGCAAACAGG
rnacentral:rRNA from 1 species